UGCCAGCAGCCGCGGUAAUACGAAUGGGGCGAGCGUUGUUCGGAAUCACUGGGCGUAAAGCGUGCGUAGGCGGAAUAGGAAGUCAGAAGUGAAAGCCCAGGGCUUAACCCUGGAAUUGCUUUUGAAACUCUUAUUCUAGAGUCCCGGAGAGGUUAAGGGAAUUCCGAGUGUAGAGGUGAAAUUCGCAGAUAUUCGGAGGAACACCAGUGGCGUAGGCGCUUAACUGGACGGGAACUGACGCUGAGGCACGAAAGCAUGGGGAGCAAACAGGAUUAGAAACCCGAGUAGUCC
rnacentral:rRNA from 1 species